rnacentral:rRNA from 1 species
AACCGGGCAUUGCUUAGUACGGCGAGUGAAGCGGCAAAAGCUCAAAUUUGAAAUCUGGUAUUCGGUGCCCGAGUUGUAAUUUGUAGAAGGUAACUUUGGGGCUGGUCCUUGUCUAUGUUCCUUGGAACAGGACGUCAUAGAGGGUGAGAAUCCCGUGUGGCGAGGAUCCCAGUUCUUUGUAAAGUGCUUUCGAAGAGUCGAGUUGUUUGGGAAUGCAGCUCUAAGUGGGUGGUAAAUUCCAUCUAAAGCUAAAUAUUGGCGAGAGACCGAUAGCGAACAAGUACAGUGAUGGAAAGAUGAAAAGAACUUUGAAAAGAGAGUGAAAAAGUACGUGAAAUUGUUGAAAGGGAAGGGCAUUUGAUCAGACAUGGUGUUUUGCGCCCUCUGCUCCUUGUGGGUGGGGGAAUCUCGCAGCUCACUGGGCCAGCAUCAGUUUUGGCGGCAGGAUAAAUCUGCAGGAAUGUAGCUUGCCUCGGUAAGUGUUAUAUCCUGUAGAAAUACUGCCAGCUGGGACUGAGGACUGGCGACUUACGUCAAGGAUGCUGGCAUAAUGGUUAUAUGCCGCCCGUCUUGACCCCGAACCAA